rnacentral:sRNA from 1 species
GAAGAUGAUGUUAUUCAAGAUUUUCUACAGAGAGAUGCCUGUCAAAGAAUAUCAGACAAGUAUUUGCUUGCGAUGGUCUUUGCCUAUUUCAAAAGAGCGCAAAUGAAAACCAGGAUUACUCAAGGAUGAAUUUCUCAGCACUGAAUUACCUAGCAAAUGACAUGGAGGAAGAUGAGGAGGAUGAUAAAUAUGAAAUCUUCCCUGGGCUCUGGGCAACAAAUGGAAGGACAGGUUCCCUCGUUUUCUUAGGAAGAAGGAUCUGUUCUGGGCCAGGAUAUCUUACCGCGCUGUGGUCAGUCGGCGAUGCUGCGAAGAGAUAAUGGAUAUUUACCCAGAUCAUGCGUGUUGGAAAAGAAAUCGUACGGCCCACCACAGUGGAGCCAUCAGGAGUUACGUGCGGGAAGCUGAGGGGGAUGACGGCUACCCCGGGAAGCAAUGAAGACCUUACUGGUAACCGGGUUAAGUGUGGUUUUAAGCGCAGCUGUGAUUGGAAAUGCCUAUUAUCAGAAGAAACAGUUUUAUCCCUCUGUGGUUUACAUCACAAAAUCAAACCCCAGUAUGGCGAUGCUCUAUAUCCAGGCUUUCGUUUUGUCAUACUAAUGGGAAAACUUAUGAGAAAAGUGUUUUUCGGAAAUCUUCGUCCAGCUGAAAUAGAGCAUUUAAUAGAAAGAUCUUGGUAUGCAGUGACUGAAACUUGUCUGGCAUUUACAGUGUUUCGUGAUGACUUUAGCCUAAAUUCGUUGCCCUGUUCACACUGUUGUUAUUUCUCAAAUGUUUCCACUGGCUUGCAGAGGACAGAAUUGAUUAUGGCAUUGAGAACCCUGAUAGCAUUGUUGGGAGUGUUGGAUCUGUACUUCAUCAACCAUGCAUACCACAGCACCCUAACUAAAGGGGCAUCAGUGCAACUCGUGUUUGGCUUUGAGUAUGCCAUAUUGAUGACCAUUGUGGCGAUGACAUUUAUGAAGUACAUCCUCCCUCCAUCGACCUACAGAACGAGAACCCGUGGGAGAACAAGGGCGGUGUAUCUGUUGUAUACAGAGCUUUUCCUAGGUGCUGUGAAAGUUGUGUUAUACAUGGCAUUUAUGGUUAUCAUGAUCAAAGUGCACACCUUCCCAUUGUUCGCCAUCCGACCCAUGUAUCUGUCUAUGAGGGGGAUUCAAAAAGGCUUUGCAUGAUGUCAUUAGUCUAGAAGAGCUAUCAGGAAUAUGAAUGCAUU